CGGGGUGAGUAAUGUCUGGGAAACUGCCUGAUGGAGGGGGAUAACUGCUGGAAACGGUAGCUAAUACCGCAUAACGUCGCAAGGCCAAAGAGGGGGACCUUCGGGCCUCUUGCCAUCGGAUGUGCCCAGAUGGGAUUAGCUAGUAGGUGGGGUAACGGCUCACCUAGGCGACGAUCCCUAGCUGGUCUGAGAGGAUGACCAGCCACACUGGAACUGAGACACGGUCCAG
rnacentral:rRNA from 1 species